rnacentral:rRNA from 1 species
AUUGAACGCUGGCGGCAGGCCUAACACAUGCAAGUCGAGCGUGCGGCGGACGGGUGAGUAAUGUCUGGGAAACUGCCUGAUGGAGGGGGAUAACUCCUGGAAACGGUAGCUACUACCGCAUACCCUCGGAUGUGCACAGAUGGGAUUAGCUAGUAUGUGGGGUAAAGGCUCACCUAGGCGACGAACCCUAGCUGGUCUGUGAGGAUGACCAGCCGCACUGGAACUGAGACGCGGUCCAGACUCCUACGUGAGGCAGCAGUGGGGAAUAUAGCACAAUGGGCGCAAGCCUGAUGCAGCCAUGCCGCGUGUGUGAAGAAGGCCUUCGGGUGGUAAAGCACUGUCAGCGGGGAGGCGUUACCCGCAGAAGAAGCACCGGCGAACUCCGUGCCAGCAGCCGCGGUAAUUC